rnacentral:rRNA from 1 species
UACAGAGGGGGCAAGCGUUGUUCGGAAUUACUGGGCGUAAAGGGCGCGUAGGCGGCCUGUUAAGUCAGACGUGAAAUCCCUCGGCUCAACCGGGGAACUGCGUCUGAUACUGGCGGGCUUGAAUUCGGGAGAGGGAUGUGGAAUUCCAGGUGUAGCGGUGAAAUGCGUAGAUAUCUGGAGGAACACCGGUGGCGAAGGCGGCAUCCUGGACCAACACUGACACUGAGGAGCGAAAGCCAGGGGAGCAAACGGG